UACGAAGGUGUCAAACGUUGUCCGGAAUAACUGGGCGUAAAGGGCGCGUAGGCGGUCGGGUAAGUGAGAUGUGAAAGCUCUGGGCUCAACCCAGGAAUUGCAUUUCAUACUGCUCGACUUGAGUUCGGUAGAGGAGGGCGGAAUUCCAGGUGUAGCGGUGAAAUGCGUAGAUAUCUGGAGGAACACCCGUGGCGAAGGCGGCUCUCUGGUCCGAUACUGACGCUGAGGCGCGAAAGCUAGGGUAGCAAACAGG
rnacentral:rRNA from 1 species